GACGAACGCUGGCGGCGUGCUUAACACAUGCAAGUCGAGCGGUAAGGCCCUUUCGGGGGUACGACGAGCGGCGAACGGGUGAGUAACACGUGGGUGACCUGCCCUCAGCUCUGGGAUAAGCCUGGGAAACUGGGUCUAAUACUGGAUAUGACUCCACGGUGCAUGUCGUGGGGUGGAAAGCCUUGUGCGGCUGAGGAUGGGCCCGCGGCCUAUCAGCUUGUUGGUGGGGUGAGGCCUACCAAGGCGACGACGGGUAGCCGGCCUGAGAGGGCGACCGGCCACACUGGGACUGAGACACGGCCCAGACUCCUACGGGAGGCAGCAGUGGGGAAUCUUGCGCAAUGGGCGAAAGCCUGACGCAGCGACGCCGCGUGAGGGAUGAC
rnacentral:rRNA from 1 species